GUGAAGCUUCAGAGAUCCAUCUCAGCAGAUCCAGGAGGGGCUUGGAACUUGUCCCUUCCUGGACUGUGAAAAGAGCAUACAGCCCAACCUCCCUGCCAACAAGCUGUACCAUCCUGAAGAGGAAAGCCCAAUGGUAGAAGCACAUCAGUGAUUCCCAGCUUCUGUUUCUAUCAGAACUGCUUGAUGAAGCUCCUUUAACACAAAUAGAUUUACUCACAUACCUUAACUGUAAGAGGUGUGUAUGUGCCAGCAGGGGUUUCUGGAACCAUGUACCUUUGUCGGAGCUCCCCCAUUUAAUUCUUACACAAUUCCACGCAGGUAUUACCUAAAGAGAACCAUUACUGACUCGUU
rnacentral:lncRNA from 1 species